rnacentral:rRNA from 1 species
GGAGGGGUGGCUUAGCUUGGUGCCUGCCUUAUGGCGGGACAUUACUACGGGAUACUGUUACUUUACGACAUCCUUUAUUGCAUAAGAACUGUUUAGAACGUCCGGAGCUCGCCUUCCAUUUGGACCUGCUGGGAUUUAGCUGGUUGGGAGGUUAAGAUUCUGCAAGGCCAAAAACAUAACCGACCCGAGAGGGUGAUCGGCCACCCUGGGACUGAGACACGGCCCAGACUCCUACGGCAUGCUGCAGAGGGGAUCUUCGGGCAUGGGGGGAAGUCCUGCCGCCUGCAUGACGUUCGAAUGAAGAGUGUCUUCAGCUUGGAGAUCUGUUUCCUUUGAAGAAAAGUGUGUUAGUGCAAAACUCUGGAUGAGUGACGUGUUACCAAUAAGAAACUCCGGAUUGCUCGCCGCUGCCUGGCUAAUACAUAGGUACGGAGCGUUCUCGUGAUUUAUUUCUGAUAUUGCUGGGGGUACCCAUUACAUGACUUGAAAGAAGAGUCUGAGGCUUAACGCUAAUCCUGUUUGAAGACUGUUUUACUUGAGUCGAUGAAGUGAUAUUGGAAUUCCAUAGAAUUCCACGAUUGCGUAGAUAUGCAAAUGAAUACAUUUGGACACAAACUCUAUGGCUUGCCCUUGUCUCUGACACUGACAUGCCUGUGAGCAACGUGAUUAGAUACCGAGACUAGAUCCCCUGCGACGCCAGUCC